AAGCACGAUUUUGUACUGAAAAACGUCAUAAGUAUAGUAUAUUCAAACUUGCAUUAUCAUUUAAUACAUUAUAAUUAUUUUAUUUGAGAUGCUUUUACACUUUUACUCCGUGUUGAAAAUAAAUCACAAUAAAUAUUAAAAGAUAAACAUUAAAACAUACAAAAUAAUAUUUGUCAGUAAUUUCUAAAUCCUUCAUUGAUCAUUUCACGUAAAUUAAUAUUUUCUUCUUUGAAUACCUACACUUAUAAAUUAUAUGCCAGAGACUAAUUACUAAGGGGGGUUUCUUAUUAAAUACAACUUAUAUGUAUAUACCCGUCCUAGCGAAAUCACGAUAUGCAUUUUCGCCACUGACGGUGACGCAACUAAAUAAUAUUAUUAUGAAAGUUACGGGCUCUGAAUAUUAUAAAUAUAAUUUUCCCUCUGUUUCUGAGAACGGUUUUAGAGUUGGCAACCCCGGACCGCGACGCGCCGCGAGCGACUGAAGGACUUGUAUCCAUGGUCUGGAAAUAAAUUAAAAAAAAAACGGCGGACGCCAAUGCCGCCAUCUUCUAUCGUGUCGUGCGUGCUGUGCUGCUGUGUGAACUUGGAAAUAAAUCCGCUAGCUGAAGCUAGCUGACCGGAUCGGAAAAAUGGUUCAGGGUUCUUUUUGUUGCCCCAUGCCCCAUCAUCUGCCGCCAUCCUGGACAAGUCGGCGAUCAAUAACAGGACCCGGCCUGCGAGCAAUGGCCAAUGAAGUCUAUCCCAGUGCCACGUCAUCAAGUCAUCACGCAGUCGUCGGGUGCAAAUGACGCGGCGGAUCUUUCUCAAGCUUAGAAAGAUGGUUGUGGCCCAGAGCCCCGCUACUUCGUGCCAGGCCAUUCUCCAACUGCAGAUCCAUGUGUCAUCGCGACAGUGCACUCACUCACCUUGUUUGGCCCGAUGGAAUUUGGUAUGUCACCUGAGGCGAGGAGUAGGUGCGUGUGCGAACGGCCUUAGUGACGCCUCUACAGCGCGACGGGUGUAUUCUCCUCAAAUAUGAGAAGGAGCUCGGGUCCUGCGGGCUCUUAACCGUCGUAGUAUUCACGCAGUGUUUUAAAAUAGUGUUUGUGUGUAUUAUGAUAACAUAUGUUCAAUUCAAAUGUCUAACACUACAUAAGUAUACAUAUCAUUUUUCAUUAGUAUGGUGCUGUUUUUGCGGUCUGAAGAAAAAACUUCAAAUAAAAUAAUUAUGUUGUCUGUA